GAUGGGCUCAUGUCCUAUCAGCUUGUUGGCGGGGUAAUGGCCCACCAAGGCUGCGACGGGUAGCUGGUCUGAGAGGACGACCAGCCACACUGGCACUGCGACACGGGCCAGACUCCUACGGGAGGCAGCAGUGAGGAAUAUUGCGCAAUGGACGACAGUCUGACGCAGCGACGCCGCGUGGGGGAUGAAGGCCUUCGGGUUGUAAACCCCUUUCGGGAGGGAAGAUGGGACGGGCAACCGUUCGGACGGUACCUCCAGAAGCAGCCACGGCUAACUCUGUGCCAGCAGCCGCGGUAAGACAGAGGUGGCAAGCGUUGUUCGGAUUUACUGGGCGUAAAGGGUGCGUAGGUGGUUAGGUAAGACCUGUGGGAAAGACCUGGGCUUAACCCAGGAAGGUCGCAGGUGACUGCCUAGCUAGAGGGCGGGAGAGGAGCGCGGAAUUCCCGGUGUAGCGGUGAAAUGCGUAGAGAUCGGGAGG
rnacentral:rRNA from 1 species